rnacentral:lncRNA from 10 species
AUGCCUCACCCUGCUUUGGCUCGCGCACGGUGCGCGCACCCACUGACCUGUGCCCACUGUCUGGCACUCCCUAGUGAGAUGAACCCGGUACCUCAGAUGGAAAUGCAGAAAUCACCCGUCUUCUGCGUCGCUCACGCUGGGAGCUGUAGACCGGAGCUGUUCCUAUUCGGCCAUCUUGGCUCCUCAGGCAACCUCUUUUCUUUAUAAAUUACUCAAUCUCGGGUAUUUCUUCAUAGCAGCAUGAGAAUGGACUAAUACAAAGUCCUUUGGCUGGAGGCAACAGGAAAAAUUCUGACUAUCAUUUCCCAUGCUACCCCUCACCUUUCAAAUCCUUUACAAUAUGGGGAGCAGGAGAAAGGCAGAUCUUACUUGAGAGGACCGUGAGGGGAGCAAGGUCGAGAGUCCACAUGGAACCCCAAAAACUAGGAGAGCUAGAACAAGGACAUUUGAUACAAAAAGAAAAAUUACUGUCAUGUGAUGUGUGAUCCAUGAUACCGUCAUAGUUUUGUUUUGCUGUGCUCCACCUUCAUACCUUCGCCUAUGUUAGAACUUCUGAGAAGCUGAAGCAU